rnacentral:rRNA from 1 species
GUGAGUAAUGUAUCGGAACGUGCCCAGUCGUGGGGGAUAACGUAGUGAAAAUUACGCUAAUACCGCAUACGAUCUAUGGAUGAAAGCGGGGGAUCGCAAGACCUCGCGCGAUUGGAGCGGCCGAUAUCAGAUUAGGUAGUUGGUGGGGUAAUGGCUCACCAAGCCAACGAUCUGUAGCUGGUCUGAGAGGACGACCAGCCACACUGGAACUGAGACACGGUCCAGACUCCUACGGGAGGCAGCAGUGGGGAAUUUUGGACAAUGGACGCAAGUCUGAUCCAGCCAUUCCGCGUGCAGGACGAAGGCCUUCGGGUUGUAAACUGCUUUUGUACGGAACGAAAAAGCUCUUAUUAAUACUAGGAGUCCAUGACGGUACCGUAAGAAUAAGCACCGGCUAACUACGUGCCAGCAGCCGCGGUAAUACGUAGGGUGCAAGCGUUAAUCGGAAUUACUGGGCGUAAAGCGUGCGCAGGCGGUUAUAUAAGACAGAUGUGAAAUCCCCGAGCUUAACUUGGGAACUGCAUUUGUGACUGUAUAGCUAGAGUACGGCAGAGGGGGAUGGAAUUCCGCGUGUAGCAGUGAAAUGCGUAGAUAUGCGGAGGAACACCGAUGGCGAAGGCAAUCCCCUGGGCCUGUACUGACGCUCAUGCACGAAAGCGUGGGGAGCAAACAGGAUUAGAUACCCUGGUAGUCCACGCCCUAAACGAUGUCAACUGGUUGUUGGGUCUUCACUGACUCAGUAACGAAGCUAACGCGUGAAGUUGACCGCCUG